rnacentral:rRNA from 1 species
CCCUUAGAUGUCCUGGGCCGCACGCGCGCUACACUGAACGGAUCAGCGCGUUUUCCCUUCCCGAGAGGGACGGGUAACCUGCUGAACCCCGUUCGUGGUAGGGAUCGGGGCUUGCAAUUAUUCCCCGUGAACCAGGAAUGCCCAGUAAGUGCAAGUCAUAAGCUUGCGUUGAUUACGUCCCUGCCCUUUGUACACACCGCCCGUCGCUACUACCGAUUGAACGUUUUAGUGAGGUACUCGGACUGAGCCUCAGAAGAUUCACGUCUUUUGUGCUGCUCGGGAAGAUUACCAAACUUGAGCGUUUAGAGGAAGUAAAAGUCGUAACA